ACUGUAGAUAGUUCGGACCUGCGCUGU
rnacentral:sRNA from 1 species